AGGUUAGAACUAACCAAUUAGGUAACUAGCCCUUUACCCUUAUAAGCCAGUUGAAUUUCUUGUAAUUUUUCGAUGCGGAACUCUUGAUAGCAUGUAGUGUUGUUACAACUUUUUGUGGCUAAAGGUAGACAUUUCCAACCAAGUUGUCUUAAUAAUCUGUAUUAUUUGGUGAUGAUUUUACAUCUAACAGAGUCAACCACCUACUCUGCUCAAAUACUUUACCACAUAAAAAUAUGGCAAAUUGCAUGUUUGAUUAUAGGUAGGAAGUUUUAUAGAACUUCUCAAUAGCAAACUCCCUUUCUUCUGCCUUCUCAUUUUGUGAAUCAUUGGAUAAUGCAUAAAGACUACAAAUUUAUUUUCAUAAUGGCACCUUUUGUUUUCCUUGAUUAUGCCUCUCCAAGAGUGUUUGUGUGUUUCACUGCAAAGAACCUUUUAAUUAUGCAGUGGUGUUCACUUGAAUGGCAACUACUUCUCUUUGCAUGCUUAAUGGAAAUUUGGAUAGUUUGUUCUUUCUUAAUAGUUGAUAUAUGCAUGGAUCUUAUCAUAGUUGUAUAAAG
rnacentral:misc_RNA from 1 species